GAUGCGAGGUCUGUAGCCUGCAGCGCAAAUUAACAGAGGCAACCAACUGACGGGGUGGCGAUUUGACGACGUCACGACGAUUUGCGGCAGACAGUGGGUUCCUAACAACAAUUAAUUUUAUAUAUAUGUAAAAUAAACAUUUUUGGCGACCCAAAAGCCCACUUCGGAAGUGAUUGACCUACAAUGGCGCCUCGUUCAGAAUCGGGUCUGCUGCUGGAAACUCUGAAGAAGCUGGGCAAAUCUGAUCUGAAGACUUUUCAGUGGCACCUGAUAAAGGGUGAUGUGUUGGAUGGCUUCUGCUCUAUCCCAAAGGCCGAGUUGGAGUUUGCUGACAGGGAGGACACUGUGGAUAAAAUGGUGGAAACUUACACGGCAAAUGGUGCUGUGGAGAUCACACUGGCCAUUCUGAAGGAGAUGAGACAAGUAAAUCUUGCCAUGGAGUUAAAUGCUCUAGCAGGAGGUCCAGGCCAAGUUGGGGAAGCAGGUGCAGGGAGGGGAUCUUCUGCUGUCCAACCCAUCACAAUCUCAGCUCAGAAUGGGGCCUUUGUCUUUUCUCCCAUAGUGACUGGUAACACUGUUGGUGGAUCAAUCCAUUUCCCUACAGGCUCUGCAGCAUCCCAACAUCCCAGGCCCUGAAAGAAGAAGACCCAUUUCUGAUGUCAGACCUGGAGGGAUUAACCACCUCCUAAUACACUGCCAUAUCCAUAAUUGGCUACUUCAUUCAGUUAUAAAUGUUUAAUAAAUCAUGCAAAUUAUCAUAGUUUUCUACAUAAUUGUAUUAGAUUUUUUUUUAAAUAGAAUAAUAUUACAACAUGAAUUAAAAAAUACAUUCCAAUGAAAUUGGUUUAUGUGUCAUAUCAUGUCUCUAUUGAACAAGGUUUGUUUUUUUACCUUAACCUUUAUGUUCUUGUGUUUGUGGCACUGAAUGGAUGUAGAGGAAGUGUGACAGAUGUGUUUCCAUCACAGGAGGCUGCUGAGGGGAGGACGGCUCAUAAUAAUGGCUGGAAUGGAGUAAAUGGAAUGGUAACAAACACAUGGAUUCAGUUCCCGGCCAUUAGUAUGAGCCCGUCCUCCCCAAAUGAAGGUGCCACUGGCCGCCUGUGGUUUCCACAGAGGCAGGGCAACUCUCAGAUCAGGCCCUACACC